AGUCAUCUUCCUCAUGUGCAGUCACUUCCUGUUCUCCUGUGUGUUUGACUUUUGCGUCUCUUGCCCCACUGAUUGUCCACACCUGUGUCUAAUGUGUCUCACCUGUGUCUCGUUACCUGUGCCCUCUUGCGUCUAUUUAGUGUCCACGCUUCACUUUGUCUUGGUCAGUUCGUCCUGUUUGCAACCCGUUAAGUCCCUCUCCUGUCCUGGUCCAUGAUGCCUGUUCUGAUGUCGUGCCCAAGUGAUAUUUUAUAUCUUCAGCUCCAAAGACUGGGGCAGGUGGUGGUGCUGGUUGCUUUCUGAGAGCUACAGCCAUUGUUGCGAUUCCAGGAGAGGGGGGUAUGAUACAUCCUCUGAGCAGCAUGUGAGAGGUUUAGAAGAAAUUCAGCAUGUUUCCAUGGCGACCACUCUCCGUUAGCCCGCUGUCCAAAGUGAGGAGAAGAUUUCUGGACCAGGUCUGGUGUAAUUCACAGGACAGAUUUGUUAAAACAUGGUGUCUGCAGAUCUUGAAAAGUCUUAAAAAGCUCUGAAUUCUGUUUCCCAAAAAUAGAAAAGAGAAUAAAAGCCCAUGCAGUCGUUAA